GAAACAACUCUGCUGAUAAAUCAGUUUUACCAGUAUCGCUUACUCUCCCACAUCCGUUUGUUGACAGCUAAGUAAUCUUCAACUUUGACUUCCAUAAACAGAAAAUAGGGGCAGAAACAAAACUGUUGUAUUCUUUUGUCGAUUCUACGCUUUGAGCCUGAGCUAAUGAAGCCCAGGCAAGUGAGAUGGACAAGCCUGGCUGGUACUUCAACAUUUCAGUGACAGCCUGUGAACGCAGAAGAGAAAAGUGAUUCCUAUCUCAGCUUCCUCAUUUUAUUGGUGAAGUGUGCUGCUUAUAUGGAGUGUCACGUCCCACCUUGCGCAGCAACAUCGCUCAGCUCAUUCACCAUUGUUCAACACAUAUCAAGGUAAUCUGUGUUUAUCUUUACUUUGUCGUAUCGAGCACAGAUGCCGACUGCCAAGGCGGUGAAUAACCCAAAGCAUGGCAUAGCAGUGUCUGACUGAGUAAUGUGGAAGCGGGAGGCUGGUUCAUCCAACCUAAGGCAUCAACAAUUUGGUAUGCUUGUCUUUACGAAUGCGAAGAGCCUUAAAACAUAGCCUUAGUGAAGGAUAUGACGCUUGUACUCAUUGUGAAAUUUUGGUCAUCAUUGCGUCUGUCAGUGGUAAAUUCUUACUUGUGAGCCAAAAUGAUUGUCUGUAUGCAGACAUGGAAUGUGUUCCUGGCAUCAAAUUCAAAAUG